rnacentral:rRNA from 1 species
AACGAACGCUGGCGGCAUGCCUAACACAUGCAAGUCGAACGAGACCUUCGGGUCUAGUGGCGCACGGGUGCGUAACGCGUGGGAAUCUGCCCUUUGCUUCGGAAUAACACAGAGAAAUUUGUGCUAAUACCGGAUAAUGUCGUAAGACCGAAGAUUUAUCGGCAAAGGAUGAGCCCGCGUAAGAUUAGCUAGUUGGUGGGGUAAUGGCCUACCAAGGCGACGAUCUUUAGCUGGUCUGAGAGGAUGAUCAGCCACACUGGGACUGAGACACGGCCCAGACUCCUACGGGAGGCAGCAGUGGGGAAUAUUGGACAAUGGGCGAAAGCCUGAUCCAGCAAUGCCGCGUGAGUGAUGAAGGCCCUAGGGUUGUAAAGCUCUUUUACCAGGGAUGAUAAUGACAGUACCUGGAGAAUAAGCUCCGGCUAACUCCGUGCCAGCCGCCGCAGUAAGAC